GGAAUCUCUGAACGGGAGCACCUGGCAAAGGUCACCUUUAAAUUGAAGCACAAACCUAUUCCUUUGGGUUAAGUUGGUGCUUUGGUCUUACUGCAGAAGUUGGCACACCUGGGCUGCUGGCCGUGUUACCCAGGACUCACCUCCUUGCGAUUCUUCCUGGUGAGGCUCUGCCAUGCUUGAACCAGGGCAUCCUUUCUCUUGGCAGCCCUGCUGGUGCCGAUCCAUUGGGGCUCUGAACAUCAGAAUGGCACUGGGCCUCCAUGAAGUUCCUUAAGGAGGACAACAGAGGAAUGUUGGAUCCUAUGUGGCUGAUGUGUGGAUGUGAUAUUCAGAACUGGCUGAAAUCUUUCUUUGCUGCGGAUUCAGAGUUUGCUCCUGGGUUAUUUCUGAUCUGUUCUUCAUUUCUUCAAACGCGCUUUGCUGCCUCGUGUUGGAAAGGAUGCCAGAGGACUUGUGGGCUGUGCUUCUAGACAAGAAUAAUCUUAUUUCUACAGGACUCUCACUUUAAAUCUCUCAAGUUACAGUUCUGAUACUCUUAGUUUUAAUAUCAGCUUUUGGUUUUAAUACUCAAGUAAUCUAUGGAUAGAAUCCAUUACAGUUGAAGGCAGAAGUCAGAUUUCCAACAUGAGCUAAUGGCCUGGACAAACGGUUAGCUACUUACACCUUAAAAGCUGAUAAAUUUGGCAAUUUAAUACAGGCUCUCCAUGCUGUGGGCAAUACAGAAUGGUGCUAUAAUCUGUCUGAUAUGUCAUAGGGUAGCAACUCUUUUUUUUUUCCACAGAAAGCUAAUCCUUGACAGCAACAAAUUGGAAGUUCCUGGGCUUGCAAAUAAAUGUGGGUAUUUUCAUCAGACCUUCAUAUUUUCUUCAGUAACUGUGAAAUCAAAAGCACUUCUAAAAAUCCAUCGAGAACACUUUGGAGUCGUGGGGAAUAUCCAGGUUGGUCUGCUAGAAUUACUGGAUGGAAGAGACAGUGGAAAAUAAUAGUUGGCCACACUGGUCUCAGGAAAACAGGGCGGAAAUGGGUAAAGCCAUUAUGAAAACCAAUUUACCCUAGAAACCUGUAACUACAUAGGCUUUUUUUUAUUGUUAUUUCUGAACUCAGAGCUCUGUGUGAUUAAUGGAUCAAACAGUGUAAGCUAGACCUGAAAUGUCUGUUCGAAAAUAUUAUGUUAAAUGCUCCUGCUCAUUUGCAUACUGUCUGCCUGUUAAUAAAGUCACAGGAGAGGAAGAAAGCUGUAGAACUGUCUUAUCUGUACAAAUAACACCUUGCAUUUUGGAAACAGAGUGAUCUGCUUUGGAGGCCUCUGCUGCAGUAUUAGAUGACCACAGAGGACGCUGCUUUCAAAAGCAACACAGCUGAGCCUCCUGCCAGAGCUCUGCUCUGUAGCACUCACAUUUAGUGCUGGACAAACCAACCUAUGAUGUGUUUCCCAUGGUGCUGUGCAACCCCUCUGAGCUCCAG
rnacentral:lncRNA from 1 species